AGUCAAUGGCUGACUGCAGUACACAGGUUCUCUUAAACAACAUCAUCUGGCCCAUGGAAGAUGAAGAGGGGGACAAUGAACCCCCAUUUACCACCCAGUGCAGAAUUUCAGGGUACCUUAGGAAGUUUGUGGAGACUGCUGAUCAAUGUAAAUUGAAACAGCUUGUCAAAUUCUGGGUGGGCUGGGAGCUACCAAUGAAGGAAAUGCAGGUGAAAGUGGUGCAGGCAGAAAGCCCUACAUCCUCCACCUGUUUUUGCAUUCUUCGUCUACCAGCUCAUUACACGACUUAUGACCAUUUCAAAAAACACCUAGAAAGCUGUAUUGCCACUAGUGAUGUUGGUUUUGGCCUUGUAUAAAAUUACAUAAACUGCUUUAAAUUGAAAAUAUCAAA